AUUGAACGCUGGCGGCAUGCCUUACACAUGCAAGUCGAACGGCAGCACGGGUGCUUGCACCUGGUGGCGAGUGGCGAACGGGUGAGUAAUACAUCGGAAUGUACCUUAUCGUGGGGGAUAACGCAGCGAAAGCUGUGCUAAUACCGCAUACGCCCUGAGGGGGAAAGCGGGGGAUCGAAAGACCUCGCGCGAUUAGAGCGGCCGAUGCCUGAUUAGCUUGUUGGUGGGGUAAAAGCCCACCAAGGCGACGAUCAGUAGCUGGUCUGAGAGGACGAUCAGCCACACUGGGACUGAGACACGGCCCAGGCUCCUACGGGAGGCAGCAGUGGGGAAUUUUGGACAAUGGGGGCAACCCUGAUCCAGCAAUGCCGCGUGAGUGAAGAAGGCCUUCGGGUUGUAAAGCUCUUUUGUCAGGGAAGAAACACCGGCUCUAACACAGUCCGGGAAUGACGGUACCUGAAGAAUAAGCACCGGCUAACUACGUGCCAGCCGCCGCCGUAA
rnacentral:rRNA from 1 species